GGGUAGUGAGUGGAUACCUGCAAGAUUCAGAUGCGAAUCGCUGGUGGUCAUCCAUAAGUAUUUGAGAAAUACUAAGGACCAGUAACUCAGUUAUAAAGAAUCUGACUUAAAAUUUGUAGAGUAUGACUUCAGUUUUUAGUUGGACAUAAUAGCAAGAAUAUGUUGGAACACAUUCUUAUCCUAAAUAAUUGAGUAAUUUGCUGGAAAAGUUUCAAGUAGAGCAAUAUAGCCAAUUCAAUUUACUAGGUAGAUUACGUUGCAGCAUUUGAUGCUUGUAAGGAAGCUAUAUGAUUGUACAGGUUCACUGGCAAGCUAGAAGUGGCACUCUCUAAUGAUGGUUUUGCUGUAUUAUAAAGCA
rnacentral:lncRNA from 1 species